AUACUUACCUGGCAGGGGAGACACUGAUCACGCAGAUGUUUGCUGAAGGCGAGAAUCCCCCAUUAUAUUAGGGCUGUGCUGACCCCUAAUAUUUCCCCAAAUGUGGGAAACUUGACUGCAUUAUUUGUGGUAAUGGGGACUGCAUUCAUGUUUUCCCCUA